UUCCAGACUCCUACGGGAGGCAGCAGUGAGGAAUAUUGGUCAAUGGCCGGGAGGCUGAACCAGCCAAGUCGCGUGAGGGAAGACGGCCCUACGGGUUGUAAACCUCUUUUGUCAGGGAGCAAGAGGCGGGUCGAGACCUGCUGUGAGAGUACCUGAAGAAAAAGCAUCGGCUAACUCCGUGCCAGCAGCCGCGGGAAUACGGAGGAUGCGAGCGUUAUCCGGAUUUAUUGGGUUUAAAGGGUGCGUAGGCGGGACGGUAAGUCAGCGGUAAAAAUGCGGAGCUCAACUCCGUCGAGCCGUUGAAACUGCCGUUCUUGAGUGGGCGAGAAGUAUGCGGAAUGCGUGGUGUAGCGGUGAAAUGCAUAGAUAUCACGCAGAACUCCGAUUGCGAAGGCAGCAUACCGGCGCUCAACUGACGCUCAUGCACGAAAGCGUGGGUAUCGAACAGGAUUAGAUACCCCGGUA
rnacentral:rRNA from 1 species